rnacentral:rRNA from 1 species
UACGUAGGUGACAAGCGUUGUCCGGAUUUACUGGACGUAAAGAGCGCGCAGGCGGUCGUUCAAGUCGAGUGUGAAAGCCCCCGGCUCAACUGGGGAGGGUCAUUCGAUACUGAUCGACUCGAAGGCAGGAGAGGGUAGUGGAAUUCCCGGUGUAGUGGUGAAAUGCGUAGAUAUCGGGAGGAACACCAGUGGCGAAGGCGACUACCUGGCCUGUUCUUGACGCUGAGGCGCGAAAGCUAGGGGAGCAAACGGG